rnacentral:lncRNA from 1 species
CGUAGUCUUCACUUUUCACUCUUGUUGCGAUGUGUCCUCCAGCACCUGACCCUCCUGCUGAUAUGGUUCAUGGGGCUGACGAUGAAGUCAUUAUGCAUCUGGAUAGAAUCAGACAGGGAAAGCCUCUUCCAAACAAUGUGAUUGAUGAUACAAAUCCUUUCCAGUUCAAUCCGUCAAAUUUACCAACUGGUCGGUUUGGUGCUUAAUCUUUGAAAUUGUUUUUGGCAUGACAUCAACUACCAUAUAAUGUCACUCCCUUCGGAAUAUCUAGUCAUAUUUGAGAAACUAUUACCUAAACGAGAAAACUUUUAGUUGUGGAAUGAGUAGGCUGUCUUCCGGCUCAAAUGGCCUGGACUUGAGUAGAUUUUUUAUGACCUUUCGCUAGAGUGAGAUGAAAAGUUAAAAUGACCACUCUAAAAAUCACAUCAUCCAUGUCCACUAAGCAUUUCCUUCUGAAUAAAAGAGCCUUUAAAUUUUUGUGUAGCAUGACUUUUGAAGGUCAUCUGGAUGAGAGUUCUUCAGCUUGUGGAAAAUUGAUUGUAAACUGAUUUGACCUUCUAUACAUGCAUUCACACUUGCUGAGAAUAUUAGUGUGGAUGAACCACAGAAGCCCUUUUUGUUAGGUCAUUUAUUUCGCGUUCAGCAGCCAGGUCUUAAUCUAAUCAUCUAUAAAAUUGACCAGAUUUAGAAAAGACUUAAAUACACUGACUGGAAUACCACUCUAAAAAGUUUUGAAGAUUGAGCAUGCUUGCUUAUUUAGGAAAGGAUAUGUAUUCUUUGAGCAGGUGGAAUUUGGUACCUAGUGGGCUCAACUGAGAAGAUGGAGAAUAAAUUUGGCUUCUGGAGAGAAAAGGGAACCGCCCUUGAUAUACGGACAGGCUCUGCUAUAAGUGGUCGGAGAACUACCCUGGAGUUUAUUGAAUUCCAAAAUGCUCGAGAACAAAAAUCUAAUUGGAUAAUGCAUGAAUACAAGAUAACAGAAACCAGCAAAGGAAAGGUAUCCUGUCGAAUCAGUAUUCAGUGGAUAUACUUCUUAUCGUGUCCUUUCUUUCUAUCCACCGACCUGCGAGACAAUUGCUAGUUUGGUUGGAUAUGUGCAGGAAUCAAGAGUAAUGUGCAGAGUUUUGCAGUCAGGUGGACGAAGCUCAAAUAUAGAUCUUCGCCCCAAUUCGAGACAAGCUGUAUCGUUUGAACAAGGUUCACGAAGCCCAUCCCUGGUUGGUCCUCCUGUAUCAUUAUCUCCGUUGAUCAGAAUUAGCUCUUCUUUGUUUCUUCUCUUUCUUUGCGAUUAUUUUAUGAAAUCUUAUUGCAUUCAUUCAAUUCAUACAGUAACAUUACCCAACUCCAUCAGCAGAUUGUAGAUAAUUAUGAUUUGCUCAUUUUACAGUUUGUUUCUUGAGUUCCUAUGUGUCUGAUAUCUGGUUUUAUUUCCAGUUACAUAUUAGGACCAGCUUGGUCUCAUUUAAGACCAUAUAAAAGAAUGGAAUUUCUGUGGCUGAACUCUCUUUUACCUGGUACUAUUACUACUGUCAUACUAUGAUAGUAGGGCAAAUACAUGAUUCAACUAUGUCUCCUGUAUUCUAGGACUAUAAUUUUUCUGUUACUUUUACUUUUGGCUAAUAUACAACAUUUGUAACAAAAAAACCUGUGUCUUAAAAAUUUUGUGAGUCCUACUUGUCUUUCACAGAAGCAUAGUGGAGUUGAUGGAAAUAAGCUUCUAUCUGAGGCUGACAGGCUUUUGGAACCACGAACAAGAGAGCCUCCUUAUAUGUUUGACGGUGACUAUUUGGAAUUGGAUGAUCUUGCUGACCCACAAUCAAGUUCAACCAGCGCAGAUAAUUCAAGCUGCUCAAGCUUUACUUUAGAUGAAUAUUUUGAUUCACAUGCCCUGUUGCAGGAGUUGGAGGAUAAGAAUAAUCAAGGGCUACGAGAAACAGGUACAAGUUCAAAAUUCAGUGUCACUGCAUCUGUUCCACCAAGUGAAGUGGUUAUGCUGCCAGCCACUUUAGGUAUGUUUAUGUCAUUCUCCAACGAACAUUUUAUAUCCUCAGAUGAAUACUCUUUCUUGAAUUCUUGCAAGUUCUAACAACAUGAGUAGAGUACAUGAGUAAUUAGUAAGGCCAAGCGUAGUUGUAUUUUUGGUCUGGUAAUCACCUUGUGUGUCAUCAUAUGGAGACCAGAUUACAAGCAAAAAUAGAAAUGUAAAAUGACGCGUGAGAGUUUACCUAAAGUAAGUAUAACUUCUUGAAAGUUACUUAGUUUCCAAGGGAAACAUCUUAAAUUUGGCUCUUAGGUUAUGAUGGUGAAAUAUUAAAUUGGGCUAUAAUUCGAUUAGGUUCUACAGAAGCAGAUAUUCUGAAAAAGAAUUCAAAAGACAUAAUACACACUCAUUGAUCAAAUGACUUGUUUAUUCUUGGAGCUCUUCAUCAUGGCGUUUUGACUGGUUUAGGAGUUCAUUAGACACUGCUGAUUUAGAUCAGAAGUGGAAUUCGAGGCCAUUCAAAUAGUUAUCUGUAGCAUUAUCUGGCGUCAAAAUCUGCCAAAUGUGUCUUUUUUGAGUUGAAACCAACAAGACAGGUCACUUGGUUGUGCUUAUAUUUAGGAACAUGCAUCUGGUGAACAUCUUAAUGGUGUCGCUUCCUGAUUCUUAUUUUUGAUCAUUGGUUAACCCUAGGUUCUCUAGUUUGUACUAGUGGAAGACAACCAUCUGUUGGAUGCACAGCACCCUCAUCAGUCCUCAAGACACAGAAUGUUGGAGAAAGAAUUCCAGAUCACACUGCUAAAAAGCCAAGGACCGAGAAAAAGGAAGAAGAUUCAGCAGGGUCCCUAUGCCCGGCACCCCCUUUGGGAAAUGCUGGCAAAUCCACAUCAAAAGGAAAAGAGAAGGCUGCUAGUGUCAAUACCAAAAGGCUGAAAAAGUACAUGUGUUUCAUGCCAUUCUAGGCUGUAAUUGCAUACUCUGCGUAUAACCUCUGUGUCAUUAGGUGACUGCAAUCAGUGACUAGCAAAAAUACCAACCCAUCUAGGCUCUUGACUACGUUCU